UUGACCAUCACUUAUUUGCCCAACAUCUGCUUCGCUUCUUCAGUCAGGUGUAGAGACGGCAGCGCCAGAUCCAGAUCUGUAGAGGCUAAGCGUUGUCGAAUUUGGACUGAUUUUGGCCGUUGCUUUGAGUAUAUUCACGGCUGUCGCAGCUGAACGGCAGCACCUUGGGGGACACUCGUCUUCACCACAUCACGAGGACUUGAAGAUGGAAAUGGAAGCGAGAUCAAUUCUCGCGACAAUGGACGAAGAGAAGAUCGACUCCGGCCAGCAGCGGCUUCAAGAGCUUGGAUACAAACAGGAGCUCAAGCGCUCCAUGUCGCCUCUAGCAAAUGUCGCGAUGUGCUUCUCAGUGGUGUCCAUACUUACUGGAGUCACUCCGACGUACAACACCGGCCUUCGAUAUGGAGGCCCGGUGUCCAUCGUUUAUGGAUGGCCUAUAGUGUGCUUCUUCACCAUAUGUAUUGCCCUGUCCAUGGCAGAGAUUUGCUCAGCGUAUCCUACAUCGGGCGGCCUCUACUUCUGGAGUUACAAGCUCGCAGGCCGCAAAUGGGGACCGUUUAUGGCAUGGAUGACCGGAUGGUUCAACAUUGCUGGAUUGUGGUCGGGAACAGCGAGCGUUUGUUUCUCACUCGCGCUGUUGCUACAAGUGACAAUCCUUGUAAGCACUGGAGGGGGUAACGGAGGCGGCUACUAUGCUUCCAAGUACGUGGUUGUCUGCAUUUAUGGUGCAAUACUCUUGCUCCAUGGACUGAUCAACGGGCUUAAUGUUCGAUGGUUUUCUUGGCUGGGAAACAUCGCUGCUUUGUGGAACAUCUUGGGUGUGGUUAUGAUUGGAGCUUUCCUACUGGCGCUUUUGCCUCGGCAAAAAGCAUCAUCAGUGUUCAGCAACCUCAACCAAGACAGCAGCACCGGGAUUCACAGCAAGCCAUACACAUUUUUACUGGGAUUGCUCAUGAGCCAAUACACCCUUUUGGCAUACGACUCUGCGGCUCACAUGUCCGAGGAGACAAAGACCGCCGACAAAACCGGUGGUUAUGGCAUCAUUGGCGCGGUUCUAGGCUCCGUCCUACUGGGGACUAUUUACCUUUUACCCCUGGUGUUCACGAGCAUUGAUGUUCCACACUUGCUAGACCCAGGCAAUGACACCAAAGGAUACGCGAUUGCGCAGCUGCUUUAUAAUGGUUUUGAGAGCCAUUUCCACGAUGCAAGAUGGAGUUUUCUCCUGUUGAUAAUUCCUUGCGGAGGGCUCUACUUCUGUGGAUUGCUCAGUGUUACAACAACUUCAAGGAUGACAUAUGCGUUCUCUAGAGAUGGUGCCUUACCUCUGUCGCGUUUCUGGCAUAAGCUGAACGGGAAGGAGGUUCCUGGCAACGCAGUUUUCUUGUGCGUUGUCGUGGCCUUCUGUCUGGCUUUACCGUACCUGGCGAGCGAAGUUGCAUUUCAAGCCACGGUGUCUAUCAACACAAUUUCGCUUGAUAUCGCCUAUGGUCUGCCGAUACUGCUUCGCGUUACAUUCGCAAGGCGCAACUUCGUUCGGGGCCCGUUCCACCUCGGAAGAUUUUCGCUCAUCAUUGGCUGGCUGGCUGUUAGCUGGGUGAUGGUGAGCACCGUCUUGUUUUGCCUGCCGGUGGCGUAUCCCGUCACGAUAGAGACGCUCAAUUAUGCUCCGGUCGCACUGGGAGGCGUGUCGAUGUUCACAUUGGGUUACUGGUUUUUAAGUGGGAGGCAUUGGUUCCAAGGACCCGUCCCAAACAUUGGAUCUGCGGAAGCGUAAAGUGGAAGGCGGCGACCCUACGGACAAUGAUGACAAAUCGCGAGCAUUAUGAACUCCGGGAGGCCAGGUCACGCGUGCAUUUCUAAGCAAGAUCUUGUUUUUCCAGGUUCCAUGAAAACAAGGAUUCAGUUUCUCAUAUAUACAGCGAUUUACGAAAAGCAUGCACAUAAUCGCGUUUCUUAAUCUUCCCAAAGCGCGUCUCGACCCGUACCGAUUCGUCUCCUAAAGUUAAGCAUAUAUUUCGAAACUCUGAAGCAGCGAUUUGUAUUUUAUUCCUCUCGCACACAGGAACAGGAACGCGUACUUGCAGCCAUGCCAGCAACCCCAUCGGGAAGAACACGAAGUUUUAACUGCGGCCAUGGACGGAUUCCAAGGAAAAGACCGUGAGCGAGCGCCAGCAGCUCGCAAAAGCGCCAAACAAUCCGCAACAAGCAGGCGAAUAAAAUCCACGAACUUAAGAGAAGUAGCAGCAGCAGCAGCAGCAGCAGUGGCAGGAGCAUAUGUGUGAUUUUUUUCUUAAAUGGAAGCAGCCACCACUUCUGGAAUGGACACACAACACAAUCGACACGGCCUUGUCGUUGGUUCGAACGAAGGCGGGGCAGGCUGCGCUAGAUUACGAUGGCUUGUUAGGUGGCAAGCAAGCGAGCGAGCCGAAAAGCCAUGGAGGCCAGAUGGGCGAUGUUAAAGAACCAAGAAAAAAGGAGGCCGAGAGAGAGAGAGAGAGAGAGAGAGAGAGCUUGCAUUAUGGGAGGGAGUUCCGCUGUGUCACGGUUUUCAACUAUGGCAACAUCAAGCAUCAAGUCCCUCCGAAACGAUCCAAAGAAAAAAAGGAAGGAAAAGACCCGAGUUUCGAUCGAGAUUCUUUAUUCCGGCAAGAAAUUUUCCUGGAUCAUCAAAUCAAAGGAAAAGAAAACCAUAUAAGAAAACAAUGGCAGGAAACGA